rnacentral:rRNA from 1 species
CAGUCGCCGCGGGAAUACGGAGGGGGCUAGCGUUGUUCGGAAUUACUGGGCGUAAAGCGCACGUAGGCGGCUUGGUAAGUUAGAGGUGAAAGCCUGGAGCUCAACUCCAGAAUUGCCUUUAAGACUGCCGAGCUAGCAGGUGAGAGAGGUAAGUGGAAUUCCGAGUGUAGAGGUGAAAUUCGUAGAUAUUCGCAAGAACACCGGUGGCGAAGGCGGCUCACUGGUCCGGAACUGACGCUGAGGCACGACAGCGUGGGGAGCAAACAGGAUUAGAUACCCCCGUAGUCCCUGUCUCUUAUAC